CUUGAUCAACUAUAAGAGGUCAAGCCUGCCCAGUGACAUUGUUCAACGGCCGCGGUAUCCUAACCGUGCGAAGGUAGCGUAAUCACUUGUCCUUUAAAUAAGGACUAGUAUGAACGGCUUCACGAAGGCUAUACUGUCUCCUUAGUCUAAUCAAUUAAACUAAUCUCCCCGUGAAGAAGCGGGGAUUCAUUUAUAAGACGAGAAGACCCUAUGGAGCUUUAAACAUCUAAGACACUUGAUUACACCUACUAAACUUCAUGCAACCUAUCAUUUUGUCUUAAGUUUUAGGUUGGGGUGACCACGGAGAAAAAUUGAACCUCCACGUAGAAAGAAAAUUCUUUUCUAAGCAAAAAGCCACAUCUUAACGCAUCAAUAUAUUGACUUAAAUUGACCCAAUUUCUUGCUCAACGAAC
rnacentral:rRNA from 1 species